CGCCUUCCGGCUCCCUCCAGUGGGCUCCUGCAGGACCCAGGCCUACUACAGCAACACUCUUGGCCCGGAUCUGGAUACAGAAGACUCCUGUUUCAAGAAAAUACAAUCAUCUCUCAAAGUCUGUAAUUUAUAUGCAUUUUUAACUCACUAGGCAUUGAAAAUCACCCAAGUGUCCCACAACACGGGGUAAAAAUCUAAUCAAUGAGUGUACUAUUAUACAUCCUUUAAAAAUGUUAUUGGAAAAUGUUUUAUGAUCUGUAAGGCGAAAUACCCACUCCCACCAUUUCUUCCUCCCUCUGCCACUCCCCCAGACCCACGCAUCUUUGUUCCAGCUGGCACAUUCAACUUGAUUUUCCCGCCAAAUGAGUCCGUUACAAGGGGAACAUCAAUUGAUUUGAACAGAUGUGUGUCAGUGUUACUUGGGAAACUAGAUGCCAAUAACCAGGGCCACAAAAAAAGGCAGUGGUUGCAAGUCUGUAGUAAUUUAUGGGGGCAUGCAGACAAGGACUCAAGUGGAACCCCAAACAGGAAAACACUUGGAUAUACUCCAGUGCCAAGAGACUGAAUGAAUGCUGCUUGUGAUUUCCAUUAAUACAGGCAACUGUCCAAUUAAAAAGACCCAAGAAGGA